CUCCUGAGCCUGUGACAGCGCCGACUUCCUUCCCGUGGCGGUCGUCUUUUAGUUGCUGCCGUGACGACAUGAUAGCGGAUUCCCUAGACAGGCAUCGCUGUUGACGCUUUGGUAUGGAAUCGGAACAGGGCGUGGCGGAGCUGGACCAUUAGCCACGUCUUUUGCUGUUUCAGACUCGGGAUCUGAGGAUCUGAGGAUCUGAGGUCACAGGACAGGAGAAACAAAUCGACCCAGAAACAUUCAAAGAUUUCUACAACUGCUGGAAGGAGACGGAAGCAGAAGCCCAGGAGGUCAGUCUGCCGUGGCUGGUGAUGGAACACCUGGAUAAAAACGAGUGUGUGUGUAAGUUGUCCAGCUCCGUCAAGACAAACCUAGGCGUUGGCAAGAUCGCCAUGACCCAGAAGCGCCUGUUCCUCCUAACCGAAGGAAGGCCAGGCUACUUGGAGAUUUCCACCUUCAGAAAUAUAGAGGAGGUCAAGAGAACCAGUACUGCGUUUGUACUUCGGAGAAUACCCACUUUAAAAAUCAGAGU
rnacentral:sRNA from 1 species